AUUCACAGUUUACUCAACUUUCCUCCAAGUUGCUUAGCCUACCAACAAUCAUGAAGUUCUUAGUAGUUCUUGUUUUGGCUUUUGUUUAUGCAUCAGCUUCGUCAACCACCUACAGGUACACCAACAGGAAUGGCGACCGUUGUAUUUGUGGUUUCACUGCACCUGCAGCCACCGAAAUUGCAACUCCAACACAAGAAGAUGAUAUAGUUGACGAAGGAGCCGCAGAAGAACAACACCCAGCAGAAAUUGUUUGCCCCGAAGUAGGGGUUAAACCCAAACAAGAAACUCGUCGCAAUGUUUUAAGCUCUAUUUCGAGGCGCCUUUAUUUAGGCUGAGCUUAAUGCGCAAACUGUCAACCAAAUCCAGAUUUGAAAUAAAUCGAUUCAAGCUCUAAA